UACGUAGGGUGCGAGCGUUAAUCGGAAUUACUGGGCGUAAAGCGUGCGCAGGCGGUCUGUUAAGAGAGAUGUGAAAUCCCCGGGCUUAACCUGGGAACUGCGUUUCUAACUGGCAGGCUUGAGUGUGGCAGAGGGGGGUGGAAUUCCACGUGUAGCAGUGAAAUGCGUAGAGAUGUGGAGGAACACCGAUGGCGAAGGCAGCCCCCUGGGCUAACACUGACGCUCAUGCACGAAAGCGUGGGGAGCAAACAGG
rnacentral:rRNA from 1 species